UCUUACCGGGACCGACAGCAAUAUGAAGGCCAGGCUGAAGACUUUGCCGGAUUAGCUGAGAGGUGGUGCAUGGCCGUCGUCAGUUCGUACUGUGAAGCAUCCUGUUAAGUCAGGCAACGAGCGAGACCCACGCCCACAGUUGCCAGCGUACUCUCUGGAGUGACGGGUACACUGUGGGACCGCCGCUGCUAAAGCGGAGGAAGGAAUGGGCAACGGUAGGUCAGUAUGCCCCGAAUAUCCCGGGCUACACGCGAGCUACAAUGGUUGGUACAAUGGGUAUCUACCCCGAAAGGGGACGGGAAUCUCCUAAAACCAAUCUUAGUUCGGAUUGAGGGCUGCAACUCGCCCUCAUGAAGCUGGAAUCCGUAGUAAUCGCGUUCCAACAGAACGCGGUGAAUACGUCCCUGCUCCUU
rnacentral:rRNA from 1 species